UGUGCCAGCAGCCGCGGUAAUACGGAGGGUGCGAGCGUUGUCCGGAUUUAUUGGGUUUAAAGGGUGCGUAGGCGGCCUGAUAAGUCCGGGGUGAAAGCCCGUUGCUCAACAACGGAACUGCCCUGGAUACUGUCAGGCUUGAGUACAGACGAGGUUGGCGGAAUGGACCGAGUAGCGGUGAAAUGCAUAGAUACGGUCCAGAACCCCGAUUGCGAAGGCAGCUGACUAGGCUGUUACUGACGCUGAGGCACGACAGCGUGGGGAGCGAACAGGAUUA
rnacentral:rRNA from 1 species